rnacentral:pre_miRNA from 1 species
UUUGAGGGGAAUGUUGGCUGGCUCGACGCAACCACCCAUUCUAAUUAUAACUGGGAAGGGUGAAGGCAUCGGACCAGGCUUCAUUCCUCUCAAA